GAGCACGUAGGUGGGUUUGUAAGUCAGACGUGAAAGCCUUCUGUUCAACGGAAGAAUUGCAUCUGAAACUGCGAGUCUUGAGUGUAGGAGGGGAGAAUGGAACUUCUGGUGGAGCGGUGAAAUGCGUAGAUAUCAGAAGGAACGCCGGCGGCGAAAGCGAUUCUCUGGCCUAUUACUGACACUCAGUGUGCGAAAGCUAGGGGAGCAAACGGGAUUAGAUACCCCGGUAGUCCUAGCCGUAAACGAUGGGCACUAAGUAGAGGGGUUUU
rnacentral:rRNA from 1 species